ACCACCUUCGGGUGGGGAUUAGUGGCGAACGGGUGAGUAACACGUGGGCAAUCUGCCCUGCACUCUGGGACAAGCCCUGGAAACGGGGUCUAAUACCGGAUACUGAUCCUCGCGGGCAUCUGCGAGGUUCGAAAGCUCCGGCGGUGCAGGAUGAGCCCGCGGCCUAUCAGCUUGUUGGUGAGGUAAUGGCUCACCAAGGCGACGACGGGUAGCCGGCCUGAGAGGGCGACCGGCCACACUGGGACUGAGACACGGCCCAGACUCCUACGGGAGGCAGCAGUGGGGAAUAUUGCACAAUGGGCGAAAGCCUGAUGCAGCGACGCCGCGUGAGGGAUGACGGCCUUCGGGUUGUAAACCUCUUUCAGCAGGGAAGAAGCGAAAGUGACGGUACCUGCAGAAGAAGCGCCGGCUAACUACGUGCCAGCAGCCGCGGUAAUACGUAGGGCGCAAGCGUUGUCCGGAAUUAUUGGGCGUAAAGAGCUCGUAGGCGGCUUGUCACGUCGGUUGUGAAAGCCCGGGGCUUAACCCCGGGUCUGCAGUCGAUACGGGCAGGCUAGAGUUCGGUAGGGGAGAUCGGAAUUCCUGGUGUAGCGGUGAAAUGCGCAGAUAUCAGGAGGAACACCGGUGGCGAAGGCGGAUCUCUGGGCCGAUACUGACGCUGAGGAGCGAAAGCGUGGGGAGCGAACAGGAUUAGAUACCCUGGUAGUCCACGCCGUAAACGGUGGGCACUAGGUGUGGGCAACAUUCCACGUUGUCCGUGCCGCAGCUAACGCAUUAAGUGCCCCGCCUGGGGAGUACGGCCGCAAGGCUAAAACUCAAAGGAAUUG
rnacentral:rRNA from 1 species